rnacentral:rRNA from 1 species
CCCUUAGAUGUUCUGGGCCGCACGCGCGCUACACUGACGAAUGCAACGAGCUUAUAACCUUGGCCGAAAGGUCUGGGUAAUCUCCAAAUUUCGUCGUGAUGGGGAUAGAUUAUUGCAAUUAUUAAUCUUCAACGAGGAAUGCCUAGUAAGCGCAAGUCAUCAGCUUGCGUUGAUUACGUCCCUGCCCUUUGUACACACCGCCCGUCGCUCCUACCGAUUGAAUGGUCCGGUGAAGCCUCCGGAUUGGCGCGCACCUCGGUGCCGCCGAGAAGUUGGCUAAACCUUACCAUUUAGAGGAAGGUGAAGUCGUAACA